GGUUAAGCGACUAAGCGUACACGGUGGAUGCCCUGGCAGUCAGAGGCGAUGAAGGACGUGCUAAUCUGCGAUAAGCGUCGGUAAGGUGAUAUGAACCGUUAUAACCGGCGAUUUCCGAAUGGGGAAACCCAGUGUGUUUCGACACACUAUCAUUAACUGAAUCCAUAGGUUAAUGAGGCGAACCGGGGAACUGAAACAUCUAAGUACCCCGAGGAAAAGAAAUCAACCGAGAUUCCCCCAGUAGCGGCGAGCGAACGGGGAGCAGCCCAGAGCCUGAAUCAGUGUGUGUGUUAGUGGAAGCGUCUGGAAAGGCGCGCGAUACAGGGUGACAGCCCCGUACACAAAAAUGCACAUGCUGUGAGCUCGAUGAGUAGGGCGGGACACGUGGUAUCCUGUCUGAAUAUGGGGGACCAUCCUCCAAGGCUAAAUACUCCUGACUGACCGAUAGUGAACCAGUACCGUGAGGGAAAGGCGAAAAGAACCCCGGCGAGGGGAGUGAAAAAGAACCUGAAACCGUGUACGUACAAGCAGUGGGAGCCUCUUUAUGGGGUGACUGCGUACCUUUUGUAUAAUGGGUCAGCGACUUAUAUUCUGUAGCAAGGUUAACCGAAUAGGGGAGCCGAAGGGAAACCGAGUCUUAACUGGGCGUUAAGUUGCAGGGUAUAGACCCGAAACCCGGUGAUCUAGCCAUGGGCAGGUUGAAGGUUGGGUAACACUAACUGGAGGACCGAACCGACUAAUGUUGAAAAAUUAGCGGAUGACUUGUGGCUGGGGGUGAAAGGCCAAUCAAACCGGGAGAUAGCUGGUUCUCCCCGAAAGCUAUUUAGGUAGCGCCUCGUGAACUCAUCUCCGGGGUAGAGCACUGUUUCGGCAAGGGGUCAUCCCGACUUACCAACCCGAUGCAAACUGCGAAUACCGGAGAAUGUUAUCACGGGAGACACACGGCGGGUGCUAACGUCCGUCGUGAAGAGGGAAACAACCCAGACCGCCAGCUAAGGUCCCAAAGUCAUGGUUAAGUGGGAAACGAUGUGGGAAGGCCCAGACAGCCAGGAUGUUGGCUUAGAAGCAGCCAUCAUUUAAAGAAAGCGUAAUAGCUCACUGGUCGAGUCGGCCUGCGCGGAAGAUGUAACGGGGCUAAACCAUGCACCGAAGCUGCGGCAGCGACGCUUAUGCGUUGUUGGGUAGGGGAGCGUUCUGUAAGCCUGCGAAGGUGUACUGUGAGGUAUGCUGGAGGUAUCAGAAGUGCGAAUGCUGACAUAAGUAACGAUAAAGCGGGUGAAAAGCCCGCUCGCCGGAAGACCAAGGGUUCCUGUCCAACGUUAAUCGGGGCAGGGUGAGUCGACCCCUAAGGCGAGGCCGAAAGGCGUAGUCGAUGGGAAACAGGUUAAUAUUCCUGUACUUGGUGUUACUGCGAAGGGGGACGGAGAAGGCUAUGUUGGCCGGGCGACGGUUGUCCCGGUUUAAGCGUGUAGGCUGGUUUUCCAGGCAAAUCCGGAAAAUCAAGGCUGAGGCGUGAUGACGAGGCACUACGGUGCUGAAGCAACAAAUGCCCUGCUUCCAGGAAAAGCCUCUAAGCAUCAGGUAACAUCAAAUCGUACCCCAAACCGACACAGGUGGUCAGGUAGAGAAUACCAAGGCGCUUGAGAGAACUCGGGUGAAGGAACUAGGCAAAAUGGUGCCGUAACUUCGGGAGAAGGCACGCUGAUAUGUAGGUGAAGCGACUUGCUCGUGGAGCUGAAAUCAGUCGAAGAUACCAGCUGGCUGCAACUGUUUAUUAAAAACACAGCACUGUGCAAACACGAAAGUGGACGUAUACGGUGUGACGCCUGCCCGGUGCCGGAAGGUUAAUUGAUGGGGUUAGCGGUAACGCGAAGCUCUUGAUCGAAGCCCCGGUAAACGGCGGCCGUAACUAUAACGGUCCUAAGGUAGCGAAAUUCCUUGUCGGGUAAGUUCCGACCUGCACGAAUGGCGUAAUGAUGGCCAGGCUGUCUCCACCCGAGACUCAGUGAAAUUGAACUCGCUGUGAAGAUGCAGUGUACCCGCGGCAAGACGGAAAGACCCCGUGAACCUUUACUAUAGCUUGACACUGAACAUUGAGCCUUGAUGUGUAGGAUAGGUGGGAGGCUUUGAAGUGUGGACGCCAGUCUGCAUGGAGCCGACCUUGAAAUACCACCCUUUAAUGUUUGAUGUUCUAACGUUGGCCCCUGAUCGGGGUUGCGGACAGUGUCUGGUGGGUAGUUUGACUGGGGCGGUCUCCUCCUAAAGAGUAACGGAGGAGCACGAAGGUUGGCUAAUCCUGGUCGGACAUCAGGAGGUUAGUGCAAUGGCAUAAGCCAGCUUGACUGCGAGCGUGACGGCGCGAGCAGGUGCGAAAGCAGGUCAUAGUGAUCCGGUGGUUCUGAAUGGAAGGGCCAUCGCUCAACGGAUAAAAGGUACUCCGGGGAUAACAGGCUGAUACCGCCCAAGAGUUCAUAUCGACGGCGGUGUUUGGCACCUCGAUGUCGGCUCAUCACAUCCUGGGGCUGAAGUAGGUCCCAAGGGUAUGGCUGUUCGCCAUUUAAAGUGGUACGCGAGCUGGGUUUAGAACGUCGUGAGACAGUUCGGUCCCUAUCUGCCGUGGGCGCUGGAGAACUGAGGGGGCUGCUCCUAGUACGAGAGGACCGGAGUGGACGCAUCACUGGUGUUCGGGUUGUCAUGCCAAUGGCACUGCCCGGUAGCUAAAUGCGGAAGAGAUAAGUGCUGAAAGCAUCUAAGCACGAAACUUGCCCCGAGAUGAGUUCUCCCUGACCCUUUAAGGGUCCUGAAGGAACGUUGAAGACGACGACGUUGAUAGGCCGGGUGUGUAAGCGCAGCGAUGCGUUGAGCUAACCGGUACUAAUGAACCGUGAGGCUUAACCUU
rnacentral:rRNA from 1 species